GAUGAAGAACGCAGCGAAAUGCGAUAAGUAGUGUGAAUUGCAGAAUUCAGUGAAUCAUCGAAUCUUUGAACGCACAUUGCGCCUCCUGGUAUUCCGGGAGGCAUGCCUGUUCGAGCGUCAUUAAAAUCACUCAAGCUUAGGUUUACCUAUUGCUUGGUCUUGGAGAUGGAAGCCAAUUUAUUGGAAUCCUCUUCGAAAUUCAAUGGCGAAGACCCUUGCUCUCCCAAGUGUAGUAAUAACUUAUGUCACUGAGGAAGCGAGAAAUCUUCUGCCGUAACCCCCAUAUUUUCUAUGAUUGACCUCGGAUCAGGUAGGGAUACCCGCUGAACUUAAGCAUAUCAAUAAGCGGAGGA
rnacentral:misc_RNA from 1 species